UAGGGUGCUUGCACCUGAUUCCUAGCGGCGGACGGGUGAGUAAUGCUUAGGAAUCUGCCUAUUAGUGGGGGACAACGUUCCGAAAGGGGCGCUAAUACCGCAAACGUCCUACGGGAGAAAGCAGGGGAUCUUCGGACCUUGCGCUAAUAGAUGAGCCUAAGUCGGAUUAGCUAGUUGGUGGGGUAAAGGCCUACCAAGGCGACGAUCUGUAGCGGGUCUGAGAGGAUGAUCCGCCACACUGGGACUGAGACACGGCCCAGACUCCUACGGGAGGCAGCAGUGGGGAAUAUUGGACAAUGGGGGGAACCCUGAUCCAGCCAUGCCGCGUGUGUGAAGAAGGCCUUUUGGUUGUAAAGCACUUUAAGCGAGGAGGAGGCUUACCUGGUUAAUACCUGGGAUAAGUGGACGUUACUCGCAGAAUAAGCACCGGCUAACUCUGUGCCAGCAGCCGCGGUAAUACAGAGGGUGCAAGCGUUAAUCGGAUUUACUGGGCGUAAAGCGCGCGUAGGUGGCUAAUUAAGUCAAAUGUGAAAUCCCCGAGCUUAACUUGGGAAUUGCAUUCGAUACUGGUUAGCUAGAGUAUGGGAGAGGAUGGUAGAAUUCCAGGUGUAGCGGUGAAAUGCGUAGAGAUCUGGAGGAAUACCGAUGGCGAAGGCAGCCAUCUGGCCUAAUACUGACACUGAGGUGCGAAAGCAUGGGGAGCAAACAGGAUUAGAUACCCUGGUAGUCCAUGCCGUAAACGAUGUCUACUAGCCGUUGGGGCCCUUGAGGCUUUAGUGGCGCAGCUAACGCGAUAAGUAGACCGCCUGGGGAGUACGGUCGCAAGACUAAAACUCAAAUGAAUUGACGGGGGCCCGCACAAGCGGUGGAGCAUGUGGUUUAAUUCGAUGCAACGCGAAGAACCUUACCUGGCCUUGACAUACAGAGAACUUUCCAGAGAUGGAUUGGUGCCUUCGGGAACUCUGAUACA
rnacentral:rRNA from 1 species